rnacentral:rRNA from 1 species
UUAAGCGAAUAAGCGUACACGGUGGAUGCCUAGGCAAUCAGAGGCGAUGAAGGACGUGCUAAUCUGCGAAAAGCGUCGGUAAGGUGAUAUGAACCGUUAUACCCGACGAUAUCCGAAUGGGGAAACCCAGUAUCCAAUGGAUACUAUCAUUAACUGAAUCCAUAGGUUAAUGAGGCGAACCGGGAGAACUGAAACAUCUCAGUACCCCGAGGAAAAGAAAUCAACCGAGAUUCCCCUAGUAGCGGCGAGCGAACGGGGAGCAGCCCAGAGUCUUAAUCAAUAACAGUGUCAGGAGAACGGUCUGGAAAGUCCGGCAGUAAAGGGUGAUAGCCCCGUAUCUGAAGAUGCUGUUAUUGUGAACUCGACGAGUAGGGCGGGACACGUGUUAUCCUGUCUGAAUAUGGGGGGACCAUCCUCCAAGGCUAAAUACUCCUGAUUGACCGAUAGUGAACCAGUACCGUGAGGGAAAGGCGAAAAGAACCCCGGCGAGGGGAGUGAAAAAGAACCUGAAACCGUGUACGUACAAGCAGUAGGAGCCUCUUUAUGGGGUGACUGCGUACCUUUUGUAUAAUGGGUCAGCGACUUAUAUUCUGUAGCGAGGUUAACCGCAUAGGGGAGCCGUAGGGAAACCGAGUCUUAACUGGGCGAAUGAGUUGCAGGGUAUAGACCCGAAACCCGGUGAUCUAUCCAUGGGCAGGUUGAAGGUUGGGUAACACUAACUGGAGGACCGAACCGACUAAUGUUGAAAAAUUAGCGGAUGACUUGUGGAUGGGGGUGAAAGGCCAAUCAAACCGGGAGAUAGCUGGUUCUCCCCGAAAGCUAUUUAGGUAGCGCCUCGUGAACUCAUCUUCGGGGGUAGAGCACUGUUUCGACUAGGGGGUCAUCCCGACUUACCAACUCGAUGCAAACUGCGAAUACCGAAGAAUGUUAUCACGGGAGACACACGGCGGGUGCUAACGUCCGUCGUGAAGAGGGAAACAACCCAGACCGCCAGCUAAGGUCCCAAAGUCAUGGUUAAGUGGGAAACGAAGUGGGAAGGCUCAGACAGCCAGGAUGUUGGCUUAGAAGCAGCCAUCAUUUAAAGAAAGCGUAAUAGCUCACUGGUCGAGUCGGCCCGCGCGGAAGAUGUAACGGGGCUAAACCAUGCACCGAAGCUGCGGCAGCGACACAAAGUGUUGUUGGGUAGGGGAGCGUUCUGUAAGCCUGCGAAGGUGUACUGUGAGGUAUGCUGGAGGUAUCAGAAGUGCGAAUGCUGACAUAAGUAACGAUAAUGCGGGUGAAAAACCCGCACGCCGGAAGACCAAGGGUUCCUGUCCAACGUUAAUCGGGGCAGGGUGAGUCGACCCCUAAGGCGAGGCUGAAAAGCGUAGUCGAUGGGAAACGGGUUAAUAUUCCCGUACUGGUGGUAACUGCGAUGGGGGAACGGAGAAGGCUAGGUUGUCCGGGCGACGGUCGUCCCGGUUCAAGCAGGUAGGCAGAGUGAUUAGGCAAAUCCGGUCACUUAAUGCUGAGAUGUGAUGACGAACCACCAAGGUGGUGAAGCAAUUGAUGCCCCGCUUCCAGGAAAAGCCUCUAAGCUUCAGGUUACCAACAAUCGUACCCCAAACCGACACAGGUGGUCAGGUAGAGAAUACUCAGGCGCUUGAGAGAACUCGGGUGAAGGAACUAGGCAAAAUGGUGCCGUAACUUCGGGAGAAGGCACGCUGGCGGUAGGUAAAGUCCCUCGCGGACAGAGCUGAAGCCAGUCGAAGAUACCAGCUGGCUGCAACUGUUUAUUAAAAACACAGCACUGUGCAAACACGAAAGUGGACGUAUACGGUGUGACGCCUGCCCGGUGCUGGAAGGUUAAUUGAUGGGGUUAGCGUAAGCGAAGCUCCUGAUCGAAGCCCCAGUAAACGGCGGCCGUAACUAUAACGGUCCUAAGGUAGCGAAAUUCCUUGUCGGGUAAGUUCCGACCUGCACGAAUGGCGUAAUGAUGGCCAGGCUGUCUCCACCCGAGACUCAGUGAAAUUGAACUCGCUGUGAAGAUGCAGUGUACCCGCGGCAAGACGGAAAGACCCCGUGAACCUUUACUAUAGCUUGACACUGAACAUUGAGCCUUGAUGUGUAGGAUAGGUGGGAGGCUUUGAAGUGUGGACGCCAGUCUGCAUGGAGCCAACCUUGAAAUACCACCCUUUAACGUUUGAUGUUCUAACCUAGGCCCAUAAACUGGGUCGGGGACCGUGUCUGGUGGGUAGUUUGACUGGGGCGGUCUCCUCCUAAAGAGUAACGGAGGAGCACGAAGGUUGGCUAAGCAUGGUCGGACAUCAUGCGGUUAGUGCAAAGGCAUAAGCCAGCUUGACUGCGAGAGUGACGGCUCGAGCAGGUACGAAAGUAGGUCUUAGUGAUCCGGUGGUUCUGAAUGGAAGGGCCAUCGCUCAACGGAUAAAAGGUACUCCGGGGAUAACAGGCUGAUACCGCCCAAGAGUUCAUAUCGACGGCGGUGUUUGGCACCUCGAUGUCGGCUCAUCACAUCCUGGGGCUGAAGUAGGUCCCAAGGGUAUGGCUGUUCGCCAUUUAAAGUGGUACGCGAGCUGGGUUUAGAACGUCGUGAGACAGUUCGGUCCCUAUCUGCCGUGGGCGUUGGAAGAUUGAGAGGGGUUGCUCCUAGUACGAGAGGACCGGAGUGAACGCACCACUGGUGUUCGGGUUGUCAUGCCAAUGGCAUUGCCCGGUAGCUAAGUGCGGAAGAGAUAACCGCUGAAAGCAUCUAAGCGGGAAACUUGCCUCGAGAUGAGUCUUCCCUGUCGCUUUAAGCGACCUAAAGGAACGUUUAAGACUAAGACGUUGAUAGGCUGGGUGUGUAAGCGUAGCGAUACGUUGAGCUAACCAGUACUAAUGAACCGUGAGGCUUAACC